GCGCGAAAACUUCGCACUGUGCGAAAGCACGACGAGGGGAUCCCGAAGUGUUAGCUCGUAAGAGCUAUCUGUUUCUCUGUCUAAAAAACAGAGAGAGUAAGGGCUGGGUAAGACGGGUGCCAGCCGCCGCGGUAAUACCUGCAGCCCAAGUGGUGGCCGUUAUUAUUGGGCCUAAAACGUCCGUAGCCGGUUUCGUAAAUGCCUAGGUAAAUCGUACGGCUUAACCGUACGAAUUCUGGGUAGACUGCGAAACUUGAGAUCGGGAGAGGCUAGAGGUACUCCUGGGGUAGAGGUGAAAUUCUGUAAUCCUAGGGGGACCACCAGUGGCGAAGGCGUCUAGCUAGAACGAGUUUGACGGUGAGGGACGAAGCCCUGGGGCGCAAACGGGAUUAGAUACCCCGGUAGUCCAGGGUGUAAACGCUGCUCGCUUGAUGUUAGUCGGGCUCCGAGCCCGACUAGUGUCGGAGAGAAGUUGUUAAGCGAGCUGCCUGGGAAGUACGGUCGCAAGACUGAAACUUAAGGAAUUGGCGGGGA
rnacentral:rRNA from 1 species